ACUUGAUGGUGGUGAUGAUGGUGGUGAUGAUGAUGGUAAUGAUCAUCAUCAUUAUCAUCACUACCACCAUCAUCACCAUUAUCAUUAUCAUCA
rnacentral:pre_miRNA from 1 species